GACGAACGCUGGCGGCGUGCUUAACACAUGCAAGUCGCACGAAGUGGCGAACGGGUGAGUAAUACGUGGGUAACCUGCCCUCCUUUUGGGGAUAAGCCUUGGAAACGGGGUCUAAUACCGAAUCAAGGGGGAUGGGCUAGCGGCCAAUCAGCUUGUUGGUGGGGUGAUGGCCUACCAAGGCGGUGACGGGGAGCAGGCGUGAGAGGUGGACAGGUGACAUAGGAAAUGAGAUACGGCCCAGACUCCUACGGGAGGGAGCAGAGGGGAAUAGUGCACAAUGGGCGAAAGCCUGAUGAAGCGAGGCUGCGUGGAGAUUGAAAGCUUGCGGUUUGUAAACGUAUUUCACUAUCGAAAAGGUAGGUGGAGAAGAAGAGCCGGCUAACUACGUGCCAGCAGACGCGGUAAUUG
rnacentral:rRNA from 1 species